AAGCUAGACUACUACUGGGAGCAGCUUGAAUAGUUCCAUAUAACAUAUGAUUGUUAUACCUUUAAAAUUUAUUAGUCCCCUACCGAUGAAACCAGGAGGACUAUAGUAUUUAUCUCUGUCUUUCCGUGAAACUACAGAUCAAGUUUGACUUUCGUUACUUUUGAUCAACAGAUAUAUGUGCGACUUGUUCUCGGUCGGGUUAGUGCUGCGCUCGAUCAGUGUUCAGGUGAAAAAACAGAAGACGGGAAUUUAUCCUGCAGAUCCAACAUAGCAAUUAUUACUUAUCAAAUUCGACUUUCGUUACUUUUUAUCAACAGGUGUUAAAGUUAAUAUUUUUUAAACGUCUCUCAUAUUUAUGAUCGGGUUAGUGCCCCAAUAUAUUGAAAUCGAGGUGGGGGAAAAGGAGAAGACGGUAAUAGACAUUAAUGAAGGAGAAGAACUAUUAUAUGAUUACGGACUAAAGUCUUAUCCAUGGAAUUCUCAGGUGGCAGCAUGAAGGAAACCCAGGUGAUGAUACCUGUUGAUGUAUAUGUGAUACCUGUUGAUGUAUAUGCAGCUGAUGAUGUCGACAUAGAAAUUAAUUCUGUUGAUCCAAAUGACAAGGAAAGAGAUGGCCUCCCUGUUGUCUUGAUACUUACAGGCUUUAAUGUAAAAUAAAAGGACCAAUAUGAGAUAAAUAGUGACUAUUUAUCUGGAGUUGUGCACAAUGAGCCAAAAUUAUCCAGAUUAGCAAGAAAUGGCAGUUUAUUAGAAGGAAUGAACUUCCUACUAGUUGGAUUUCCUUCAACUUAGAGGUUAAGGAUUUGAUUACUAUUCAGUCCCAGGAGAUGCCAAUCAGCAGUGAGUCCAUCAUCAUCAUUCCAGACGGAACGAAUGAGGAAGUUAAGGCAUGUCUCUUGCAAGUCCAAAAACUGAGACAUUUACCAGUCCAGGUCACAGAGACGUUUCUCGCCUAUGACAGCAGCAUUCAUUGAAAAGGGAACACGGACUGUACCAAAGUACAGACCGAGAAAAAAUGAAGAAAAAGAAAAGUACCUGCCAUGUGCACACUGUUUGGCCGUUGUUGUAGCUACAGACUUAUGGAAGCACCAAAAGUCAUGUCCAGCAAACAAAUCUCAACAAAAUUUAAAAUAUCCUGUAUGUGAAGGACGUUUGCUGUUACCCUGUGACUGAAUUUUCAAAAAAACUACAUCAAAUUGUUUAAAAACUUUCUUGCUAUCUCCUUUGUAUUUUAAUACAUAUCUAACAUGUAAUGAUAAUAAAUUAUCAUAGAAAGGUUAAUUUAUCUUCGUAAAUACACAGUUUAUACAAAGACCUUAUCUUGUCGAUUAAAGUUUUUAAAGUUGCUUUCAUAAUGAAUUUUUCGAUUAAAUGUUAACAUUAAAAAAUAAUCCUUAUAUUCAUUAUUUGAAGUAAUAAAUAUUAAAUCUAUU